AUUGAACGCUGGCGGCAGGCCUAACACAUGCAAGUCGAACGAGUGGCGGACGGGUGAGUAAUGUCUGGGAAACUGCACGAUGGAGGGGAACAACUAAUGGAAACGGUAGAUAAUACCGACUAUCAUCAGAUGUGCCCAGAUGUGAGUUGCUUGUUGGUGGGGUAACGGCUCACCAAGGCGACGCUGCCUCGCUGGUCUGAGAGGAUGACCAGCCACACGGGAGUUGUGACACGGUCUAUACUCCUACGGGAGGCAGCAGUGGGGAAUAUUGCGCAAGUGGCGCAAGCCUGAUGCAGCCAUGCCGCGUGUAUUAAUAAGGCCUUCGGGGUGUAAAGUACGUUCAGCGGGGAGGCGUUACCCGCAGAAGAAGCACCGGCUAACUCCGUGCCAGCAGCCGCGGUAAUUC
rnacentral:rRNA from 1 species